rnacentral:ncRNA from 1 species
CAAGGACCCGGUGCAAACCCGGGUGGCUAUUCCGGCCGCCGAUCCGCCGGACAACA